rnacentral:rRNA from 1 species
CGGUGGUGAAGCUGUUGACGCUACGCUUCCAGGAAAAGCCUCUAAGCUUCAGGUAUUGUCGACCGUACUCGAAACCGACACAGGUGGUCAGGUAGAGCAUACCAAGGCGCUUGAGAGAACUCUGGUGAAGGAACUAGGCAAAAUAGUACCGUAACUUCGGGAGAAGGUACGCUCUUGUGGGUGAAGGACUUGCUCCGUAAGCCUAUGAGAGUCGCAGUGACCAGCUGGCUGCAACUGUUUAUUAAAAACACAGCACUCUGCAAACUCGUAAGAGGACGUAUAGGGUGUGACACCUGCCCGGUGCCGGAAGGUUAAUUGAUGGGGUUAGCGCAAGCGAAGCUCUUGAUCGAAGCCCCGGUAAACGGCGGCCGUAACUAUAACGGUCCUAAGGUAGCGAAAUUCCUUGUCGGGUAAGUUCCGACCUGCACGAAUGGUGUAAUGAUGGCCAGGCUGUCUCCACCAGAGACUCAGUGAAAUUGAAAUUGCGGUGAAGAUGCCGUAUACCCGCGGCUAGACGGAAAGACCCCGUGAACCUUUACUAUAGCUUGGCACUGAACAUUGACCCUACAUGUGUAGGAUAGGUGGGAGACUUUGAAGUUGGAACGCCAGUUCUGAUGGAGUCGUCCUUGAAAUACCACCCUUGUAUGUUUGAUGUUCUAACGUGGGCCCCUAAUCGGGGUUGCGGACAGUGUCUGGUGGGUAGUUUGACUGGGGCGGUCUCCUCCUAAAGAGUAACGGAGGAGCACGAAGGUUGGCUAAGUACGGUCGGACAUCGUACGGUUAGUGCAAAGGCAGAAGCCAGCUUAACUGCGAGACAGACACGUCGAGCAGGUACGAAAGUAGGUCUUAGUGAUCCGGUGGUUCUGUAUGGAAGGGGCAUCGCUCAACGGAUAAAAGGUACUCCGGGGAUAACAGGCUGAUACCGCCCAAGAGUUCAUAUCGACGGCGGUGUUUGGCACCUCGAUGUCGGCUCAUCACAUCCUGGGGCUGAAGUCGGUCCCAAGGGUAUGGCUGUUCGCCAUUUAAAGUGGUACGCGAGCUGGGUUUAGAACGUCGUGAGACAGUUCGGUCCCUAUCUGCCGUGGGCGUUGGAUGAUUGAUUGGAGUUGCUCCUAGUACGAGAGGACCGGAGUGAACGAACCGCUGGUGUUCGGGUUGUCAUGCCAAUGGCACUGCCCGGUAGCUAUGUUCGGAACGGAUAACCGCUGAAAGCAUCUAAGCGGGAAGCCGGCCAAAAGAUGAGUCAUCCCUUGUACCUUGAGUACACAUAAGGGUCGUUGGAGACCACAACGUUGAUAGGUGAGGUGUGGAAGCGUGGUGACACGUUAAGCUAACUCAUACUAAUUGCCCGAGAGGCUUAACCAU